UAUAACUUAGGGCAACCGCACAUUAGAGACACGACAGUUUUUAGACAAUCUUGUUUCACAUAGACGAGUCAGCUUUACGAUUAAAGAAAAACAGUUGUGUCUACCACGCGGCGCAUACCAAGACGAAACUGUUUUGUCUACGAUGACGCAACGCAUACAUCAGACUAGGUACACCGCUUGAUUGUUUUGUCGUUGAUGUGUACAUUUCAAAAGG